AUGAACGCUGGCGGCGUGCCUAAUACCUGCAAGUCGAGCGAACGGACGAGAAGCUUGCUUCUCUGAUGUUAGCGGCGGACGGGUGAGUAACACGUGGAUAACCUACCUAUAAGACUGGGAUAACUUCGGGAAACCGGAGCUAAUACCGGAUAAUAUUUUGAACCGCAUGGUUCAAAAGUGAAAGACGGUCUUGCUGUCACUUAUAGAUGGAUCCGCGCUGCAUUAGCUAGUUGGUAAGGUAACGGCUUACCAAGGCAACGAUGCAUAGCCGACCUGAGAGGGUGAUCGGCCACACUGGAACUGAGACACGGUCCAGACUCCUACGGGAGGCAGCAGUGGGGAAUCUUCCGCAAUGGGCGAAAGCCUGACGGAGCAACGCCGCGUGAGUGAUGAAGGUCUUCGGAUCGUAAAACUCUGUUAUUAGGGAAGAACAUAUGUGUAAGUAACUGUGCACAUCUUGACGGUACCUAAUCAGAAAGCCACGGCUAACUACGUG
rnacentral:rRNA from 1 species